rnacentral:lncRNA from 1 species
CUUUAUUACUAUUUGCUGAAUGAAAAUCACUUGUGUGUUAACUAGCUAUAUCAAGGAGGAAAGAAACUUUAUCUGGAGCAACCGCUAAAAGAAGAGGUGAAAAUCCGCCUCCCCGGAACUGCCCCCGAAGAAAGAGAUGCUAAAACCUGCAUUAGAUGCACCACCUGUCAUUGCAGACUACAAAGAGGUCACCGUAACCAAGUUUAAUAAAGCAGAAACAGCUUGUUAAACUUGAAUGGCAAUUUUGAGGGCAGGACUCCUGAAAACUAGAACAAGACAAUACCUCGUAGCAGAUGAUGGAUAAUUGCUGUGAUUUUUGCCUGCUUGAAAUUCUCUAUCUGUAUUAUGUGCUUUAUUUUGUUAAGAAAUGGCUACAUUCUUCUGAAAUCCCCCUGGAGGAGUCACUCACAUACCUGUGCCCAGGACACAAUCGGAAGACUAAUGCUAAUGAAUGCUUUUCUGAAGAUCUUAUUUCCUUAAAGCUGAGACUACAAGGCUGAAGAUUUCAUCAGGGUUCACGCUGGGUCCCUAACUCAAGGCACAGUGACAACAAUGGGCAAGAGAAAAAAUGCUCCAAUUCCUCAGAAUGGAGCGUAGUGAAGACCCUGAGUACCAGCCCACCAUAGACUGCCUGCACAGGAGUGAAAGCAAUACCCCAAAUCCCUCUGCCAGGGUGUGAUGAAGAUCCAGCCUGCAGGCUCCAGGGCAUGGGCACUGAAGAGGUAACUGAACACAGCUGAAAUGAA